GUGAGGAAUAUUGGUCAAUGGGCGGGAGCCUGAACCAGCCAAGUCGCGUGAAGGAAGAAGGAUCUAUGGUUCGUAAACUUCUUUUGCAGGGGAAUAAAGUGCAGGACGUGUCCUGUUUUGUAUGUACCCUAAGAAUAAGGAUCGGCUAACUCCGUGCCAGCAGCCGCGGUAAUACGGAGGAUCCGAGCGUUAUCCGGAUUUAUUGGGUUUAAAGGGUGCGUAGGUGGUUUGAUAAGUCAGCGGUGAAAGUUUGCAGCUUAACUGUAAAAAUGCCGUUGAAACUGUCGGACUUGAGUGUAAAUGAGGUAGGCGGAAUGCGUGGUGUAGCGGUGAAAUGCAUAGAUAUCACGCAGAACUCCGAUUGCGAAGGCAGCUUACUAAGCUACAACUGACACUGAAGCACGAAAGCGUGGGGAUCAAACAGGAUUAGAAACCCUAGUAGUCC
rnacentral:rRNA from 1 species